rnacentral:rRNA from 1 species
UACGGAGGGUGCAAGCGUUAAUCGGAAUUACUGGGCGUAAAGCGCACGCAGGUGGCUGAGUCAGUCGAUUGUGAAAGCCCUGGGCUUAACCUGGGAAUUGCAGUCGAUACUACUCAGCUCGAGUAUGGGAGAGGGCAGUGGAAUUCCCGGUGUAGCGGUGAAAUGCGUAGAUAUCGGGAGGAACAUCAGUGGCGAAGGCGGCUGCCUGGCCCAAUACUGACACUCAGGUGCGAUAGCGUGGGGAGCAAACGGG